rnacentral:rRNA from 1 species
CCCUUAGAUGUUCUGGGCCGCACGCGCGCUACACUGAUUCAUGCACUAAGUAUAUAACCUUGGUAGAAAUGCUUGGGUAAUCUUCGAAACUGAAUCGUGCUGGGGAUUGGAGCUUGUAAUUAUUCUCCAUGAACGAGGAAUUCCUAGUAAACGCGAGUCAUCAGCUCGCAUUGAUUACGUCCCUGCCCUUUGUACACACCGCCCGUCGCUCCUACCGAUUGAAUGCUCAGGUGAGCCAUUCGGACUUUCAUCAUGCUGGUUUCCAGUUUUGAUGAAGGAAAGUCUUGCGAACCUUAUCAUUUAGAGGAAGGAGAAGUCGUAACA